AGGUAGCUCAGUCGGUGAAGCACGAGACUCCUAAUUUCAGGGUUGUGAGUUUGAGUCCCACGUUGGCUA